rnacentral:rRNA from 2 species
UAGGGAAUCUUCGGCAAUGGACGAAAGUCUGACCGAGCAACGCCGCGUGAGUGAAGAAGGUUUUCGGAUCGUAAAACUCUGUUGUUAGAGAAGAACAAGGACGUUAGUAACUGAACGUCCCCUGACGGUAUCUAACCAGAAAGCCACGGCUAACUACGUGCCAGCAGCCGCGGUAAUACGUAGGUGGCAAGCGUUGUCCGGAUUUAUUGGGCGUAAAGCGAGCGCAGGCGGUUUCUUAAGUCUGAUGUGAAAGCCCCCGGCUCAACCGGGGAGGGUCAUUGGAAACUGGGAGACUUAAGUGCAGAAGAGGAGAGUGGAAUUCCAUGUGUAGCGGUGAAAUGCGUAGAUAUAUGGAGGAACACCAGUGGCGAAGGCGGCUCUCUGGUCUGUAACUGACGCUGAGGCUCGAAAGCGUGGGGAGCAAACAGG